rnacentral:rRNA from 1 species
UACGGAGGGGACUAGCGUUGUUCGGAAUUACUGGGCGUAAAGCGCACGUAGGCGGAUUUGUAAGUCAGGGGUGAAAUCCCGGGGCUCAACCUCGGAACUGCCUUUGAUACUGCAAAUCUCGAGUCCGGAAGAGGUGAGUGGAAUUCCUAGUGUAGAGGUGAAAUUCGUAGAUAUCGGGAGGAACACCAGUGGCGAAGGCGGCGAUCUGGGAAGAUACUGACGCUGAGGUGCGAAAGCGUGGGGAGCAAACAGG